GGGGGCAGCAAUGUCACCGGCGAACGGGUGCGUAACGCGUAUGCAACCUACCUACAUCAGGGGGAUAGCCCUAGGAAACUGGGAUUAACACCGCAUAACAAUAGAGUUGGCAUCAACUUUAUUUGAAAUAUUUAUAGGAUGUAGAUGGGCAUGCGUAGGAUUAGCUAGUUGGUAAGGUAACGGCUUACCAAGGCUACGAUCCUUAGGGGCUCUGAGAGGAGUAUCCCCCACACUGGCACUGAGAUACGGGCCAGACUCCUACGGGAGGCAGCAGUAGGGAAUAUUGGGCAAUGGAGGCAACUCUGACCCAGCCAUGCCGCGUGCAGGAAGACGGUCCUCUGGAUUGUAAACUGCUUUUGAAUGGGAAGAAUGUGCUCCUUGCGAGGGGUAAUGACGGUACCAUUAGAAUAAGCCACGGCUAACUACGUGCCAGCAGCCGCGGUAAUACGUAGGUGGCGAGCGUUAUCCGGAUUUAUUGGGUUUAAAGGGUGCGUAGGCGGCUUAAUAAGUCGGUGGUUAAAAGUAGCAGCUUAACUGUUUUACAUGCCAUCGAUACUGUUGAGCUUGAGAUAUUUGGAGGCAGCUAGAAUUUCCGGUGUAGCGGUGAAAUGCAUAGAUACCGGAAGGAAUACCAAUUGCGAAGGCAGGUUGCUACGAAUAAACUGACGCUGAUGCACGAAAGCGUGGGGAUCAAACAGGAUUAGAUACCCUGGUAGUCCACGCCGUAAACGAUGAUUACUAGUUGUUGGGGUUUAAGCUUCAGUGACCAAGGGAAACCGAUAAGUAAUCCACCUGGGGAGUACGCCGGCAACGGUGAAACUCAAAGGAAUUGACG
rnacentral:rRNA from 1 species